GCGUACGCACGAACGUGUGUUUUAAACACAUACCUGUGCGUGUGUGUCCUCGGCGCAGAUGUGGAUGAGUGUGUGGAGGGCCAGCAGCAACAGCGCUGCCAGCAGACCUGCGUCAACACCUUCGGCUCGUUCCGCUGCUCUUGCCCCUACGGACACACCCUGGCUGGGGACGGAAGGGCCUGUGUGGCUGAGUGUCCCGCAGGGUACAGGAAACAACCCUCAACCCCGAUACCUGGAGGAAACCUGUCCAGAAAGGAGUGUGUAGACAUCAAUGAAUGUGAGGAGCCAGAGGUCAGUGUACCUGGACACCGGUGUCAGUGGAAGUGUGUGAACCUGCCUGGCUCCCACCGCUGUAUCUGUCCCAGAGGCUACAAACUGUCCUCAGACAGACACCACUGCAGAGAUAUCAACGAGUGCAGCCGUAAGAAUGGUGGCUGCUCUCACCUGUGCCUGAACCAUAAAGGAAGUUACCAGUGUUCCUGUCCUGCCUCUCAC